UAUUGGACAAUGGGCGCAAGCCUGAUCCAGCCAUGCCGCGUGGAUGAUGAAGGCCUCCCCCUUGUAAAGUCCUUUUAACGGGGAAGAUAAUGACGGUACCCGUAGAAUAAGCCCCGGCUAACUUCGUGCCAGCAGCCGCGGUAAUACGAAGGGGGCUAGCGUUGCUCGGAAUCACUGGGCGUAAAGCGCACGUAGGCGGAUCUUUAAGUCGGUGGUGAAAUCCUGGAGCUCAACUCCAGAACUGCCUUCGAUACUGAGGGUCUCGAGUCCGGGAGAGGUGAGUGGAACUGCGAGUGUAGAGGUGAAAUUCGUAGAUAUUCGCAAGAACACCAGGGCGAAGGCGGCUCACGGCCCGGUACGACGCGAGGGCGAAA
rnacentral:rRNA from 1 species